UUUAAGCCCUUAACUGUUAACAGAGAGAUUGCUUCACUUUCUGGUCAGCAGACCAGGAAAAUGAAAACUUCACUCUAGGUUUAGAUGUUUCCUCAGAGGGUCUUUGUAAAAAACAUUAUGAAGCGUAAUUUCUUGAAGCGUUUCCAUCACUGCGAGAUCUUUGUAGGCCCCCAACUGCUCCCUGAGCAUGGUGCCUUCCUGGAUCCUCAUCAGGAAAGGACAGGCCCAGUAGGCCCUAGAAGGUAAUCUGUACAGAUCACGGGUCUGUUUCUCACAUUUAUGGAAGUUGACAAGUCCGAGAUCUACACUCUGCCUCCAAGAGGGUACCUGGUCUUGUGCCAGAAGAGCAAAAGAGGACAGAGCCUCUGCUGGCCGCACUGGAUCCAUAUUGCGUUUUGCUGAAAUAGCUUGGCAGAGUUGUUUCUCUCCCUUGAACACCUUGAUCCCUGUGAGCCCUUAUAAUUGGCUGUGCAACUCGAAUAUGCAAAAAGAUCCCUUGAAGCAAGAACAGGGAAAAAGAGAAACAAAAAUAGGCAAACAUCUUUUCUGGUUUGGCUUUCGAGGAUUGCAAUCUUCAUCCAAGUAGAAGACAUCAUUCUUAGGAAUGUUCUUCACCCUCGGGGAUUUCAUCUCGUGCCUGCAGAUGGAAGGGGCCAUGUGGUGAGGAUUGAAGGAGAGACGCUGUGAGCAGCAGACAGCAGUGAAAUGGGAGCUCAGUCCUCUGACUGCAAGGACACGGAUGGCACCUUGGAAGAGGGCACCAUCCUUAGCUCCAGGUGGUAUGUGCAUUAGCCAGCUUCUGCCGCUGUGCCAGAUACGCCUGACAGCAUCGGUCAUUUCAGAUAAAACCGUCAUGGUGCAUCGACCCAGAAGUGACAGAAGGCUCCACAGUAAGCCCCGCAGCUUGCCGUCUUCUCUGGUCUCGCCUGCACCUUCCAGUCCCGCAGGCAGCUGCUGUGAAGGGCUACAUCCUUCGCAUCUUCUGGCAUCUGCAGUGGAGAAAACACUGACCACUUGUGCAUGCCAACUGCACUGUUCUGCUUUCUACACUUUGGCAGUAUCCGCGUGAUGCUUUCAUAUUCUUUUUGAUUGGU